rnacentral:rRNA from 1 species
UGAGGAAUAUUGGUCAAUGGACGCGAGUCUGAACCAGCCAAGUAGCGUGAAGGAUGACUGCCCUAUGGGUUGUAAACUUCUUUUAUAUGGGAAUAAAGUUGUCCACGUGUGGAUUUUUGUAUGUACCAUAUGAAUAAGGAUCGGCUAACUCCGUGCCAGCAGCCGCGGUAAUACGGAGGAUCCGAGCGUUAUCCGGAUUUAUUGGGGUUAAAGGGAGCGUAGGCGGAUUGUUAAGUCAGUUGUGAAAGUUUGCGGCUCAACCGUAAAAUUGCAGUUGAUACUGGCAGUCUUGAGUGCAGUAGAGGUGGGCGGAAUUCGGGGUGUAGCGGUGAAAUGCUUAGAUAUCACGAAGAACUCCGAUUGCGAAGGCAGCUCACUGGAGUGUAACUGACGCUGAUGCUCGAAAGUGUGGGUAUCAAACA